CGCAGCGCUGGAUGGCGCUGGUGGUGGACGGAGGAAGGAGGGGGAUAGAUGCGCCCACGACUCGCCCUCUCUUCCGUCUGAUCACACGGUAGGACACGCGAUCGGACGAGGACUGGCGGCGACAGCAGCCGGGGUGAGUAGGAACUGCUCAGCGUGUUCUGCACGGGCUCAAAUGGACCGGACCGGUCUCAGAUCUGGACUGGAGGGGACAGAGUAGAUAAAGUGAAAGAGGAGAAGAAACCACAGGGAUCCCCACAUGGGAGCAGCACUGCUGUCAGAGCCGCUUUUAUCUGAGAGAAUCUGCCAAAUCAUUCUUUGGAAACGCUCUCAUGGCUUCAAACGAAGACUUGUAAACCCACGGAGCUAAAAACAGAAAACCAACGCAAUCACUGGCAAAUAUAAGUGGACCACUUUAAAAAAGAAAAACACGGCAGGACAGUGGGAGGGUUGUAUGGGGGCCAGAUCCCUAUCCAAGACAUCUUGCAUCUCUUCAGUCCACAGACUUCCUUCCACCCCUCCUUCCGUUUCCUCCCGCUCUGCCUUUCUCCCAUUCUCCAUCUUUCUCUCUCAUGGGAGUGACAUAGAGGCUGUCGCCUGGUCUUCUGCCCCGCCCCUUUUCUGCAUCCCUGUGGGAACGGGGACGUCCAGGUAGUGAUGUCGUGGAAGAGGAACUACUUUGCCUCUGGCGGCGGAGCGGCUGGUGGGAUGCAGGGGCUGGUGACCCCGAGAACCAUGACCUCCAUCGCGCCGAGCAAAGGCCUGAGCAACGAGCCGGGACAGAACAGCUGCUUCCUCAACAGUGCUCUGCAGGUCUUGUGGCAUCUUGACAUCUUUAGGAGAAGCUUUCGGCAGCUGACCACUCAUAAGUGCAUGGAGGACUCAUGCAUCUUCUGCGCUCUAAAGAGUAUCUUUGCUCAGUUCCAGUUCAGCAGCGAGCGCGUUCUGCCGUCAGACGCACUGCGGAGCGCGCUGGCCAAGACUUUCCAAGACGAGCAGAGGUUUCAGCUGGGCAUUAUGGACGAUGCUGCCGAGUGCUUUGAGAAUCUGCUGAUGCGUAUCCACUUCCACAUCAGCGCGGAGAGCAGAGAGGACAUCUGCACAGCCAAACACUGCAUACCACACCAGAAGUUUGCCAUGACUUUGUUUGAACAAUGUGUGUGCAGCAGCUGUGGAGCCUCUUCGGACCCCUUGCCCUUCAUUCAGAUGGUUCAUUACAUCUCCACCACGUCCCUCUGUAACCAGGCGGUGAGGAUGCUGGAGUGCAGAGAGAAACCAACACCGGACAUGUUUGGAGAGCUGCUUCGCAACGCUAGCAACAUGGGAGACCUCCGCAACUGCCCUAGUAACUGUGGGGAGGUGCUGCGUAUCCGCCGGGUUCUGAUGAACUCACCAGAGAUCGUGUCCAUCGGGCUGGUGUGGGACUCGGACCACUCUGACCUAGCAGAGGACGUCAUCCACAGCCUGGGAACCUGCCUGCGUCUGGGAGAUUUGUUCUACCGUGUGACAGAGGAAAGGGCUCGCCAGGCGGAGCUCUACUUGGUGGGCAUGGUGUGCUACUACGGCAAGCACUACUCCACCUUCUUCUUCCAGACCAAGAUACGCAAGUGGAUGUAUUUUGACGACGCCCACGUCAAAGAGAUCGGCCCAAAGUGGAAGGACGUAGUGUCUCGCUGUAUUAAAGGCCACUACCAGCCCCUGCUGCUGCUCUACGCUGACCCCCGUGGGACGCCGGUGAUACUGCAGGAGAGCCCCAACCCUUGUACUGGCUCCAACCCGCAGCUGGAGCUCCAGCACUGCAGCAGCAAGGCUGGUUACGACAGUGAGGACUCAGGUCGGGAGCCAUCGAUAUCCAGCGACACGCGCACCGACUCGUCAACGGACAGCUCGAGCCACCGCACGUCCCGCAACCGACCCCUGCACCAGUCCACAGGCAGCCGGCUCUCCAGCGAAUCCCAGACCACAGUGGUCUGUAACUACGACUCGCCACCGCUCGGUGCUGACGCUGGAGAGUCAGCAGUGGAGGCUCCAACCUGCAACCCCUCUCCUCCCCUGCAGGAGACGGCAGUCUUCCUCCUGUCUUCACGCAGGCCCCUCACCUCCUCCUCCUCAUCCUCUCGCCCCCUUUCCUCCUCGUCUUCUUCGGGAGUCGGGGGCUGCGAGGGCGGGGCUGGGGGGCCCCACUGGGAGGAUGAAAGCACGAGCAGUGAGAGCAAAUCCAGUUCCUCUGGAAGCCGCUACCGGCCAACCUGGAGGCCCAGGAGAGAGGCCCUGAACAUCGACAGCAUCUUCACCCGACAAAGAGACUCCCAGCUGGGCUACAGUGCUGCACCUGGCCCGUCUCUCUCCGCUGAGCCCCAGCAGCCUCUCCCCUUUGUGGGAGCUGCCACACAACCUGGACUGGAGGACGGGGAACGGAGGGAGACCGGGGAGGUCGGGUUUGGGCUGGUUGGGCAGCCCAGGUCUUCAAGCGGUGGGCGGACUAUGGGUCCUCCUGCUCCUCCACCUCUGAGAGGGGUGGAGCACCAGCCACGUCUGAUCCAGAGAAUGGAGAGUGGCUACGAAAGCAGCGAGAGGAACAGCAGCAGCCCUGACAGGGAGGUGGGGCAACAAAAACGGGUGCUGAUGUCUGGACCUUCAUGGCGAUCAGUGCCCAAGUCAAAAAGCAGCGGUGCUAUUAUGCAGGAGCUGCCACAUCCCUGCUGGGUCAGCAGUUCUGACACAGGCUCUGGACGCAGUGAGCUGGAUGAGCUGCAGGAGGAGGUGGCGAGGAGAGCCCGCCAGCAGGAGCAGCAGAAGCGGAAGGAGGCGGAGCGGGAGGCGGCCAAGGGGUUCAACCCCAGACCUAGCAAGUUCAUGGACCUGGACCAGCUCCAACACCAGGCUGUGCUCAGACCCCUGCAUGAGGCUAACGCUCAUAGUGGAUUGGCUGUAGCUGCGUGCAUGAGGAGCACUGGGGGCCCAAUCAAACGCAGGCAGGAACAGGAAAUGGAACGGGACACGGGAAACGCCCAUCCACAGGGGCCUAGCAGUGAACAGUCUGGCUCGAUCCAAGUACUGCUGACACCCAAUCAGGAGGAGGAAGAGGAUGAGUCGACGAGCAGCAGGGCCGGUCCUCAGGGUCAGAACCCGCCCCCGCCUCCUCCGCCUUACCGCCCCGCUCCCCCUCGACCCACGCUCACCCUCAGCAUCAGUCACCCCUGCAGCCCGUCCGUUCAGGGUGAGGAGGAGGAGGGCAGGUGCGCUGGUGAGGAAGGUGAGGAUGGGAGUGAGGGGACGGGGGUGAGGCUGUGCGAGUUACUGCAGGCCGGGGGAGUGAGUGUCCGACCCCUGGGGAAGCACUUAGCCAUCUCUCUACCCUCACUUCCUCUUCGUCUCUGGGAUACACACACCGCACACGCCUCACACUCCACACACAACCCCCCGUCGCCCCCUCCGGAAACUUAUGGGCAGAGGAAACCCCUCACCCCGCUCUGGCAGCCGCCCAGCCCACAUUGCCCCGACGGAGGGUGGCAGCAGCACGCGGUCCUCGCCGAUGGAAGCACUCGUCACUGGUCCUCCUGGAGCCUGGACCGCCCAGACGCCGUGGUUACACCAUAUGACACGCCCCCGGACCGGUGCUUUCCCAUCAGGCCUCAGAACCCCGGUCAGAGCUGCAGCUACAGUUGUCAGUCUUCUCCAGGGCACUACAGCUCCCAGCAUGCCCCGGGGCAGCACAGCGAUCUCUGCUGUGACCGUGAAGAGGCUGAGCUGUCCGAGCUGGACUCCCUUUACCAGGCCAGUCUGCAGGCUGGACGAUCAGGCUGCAGCCCAUCUGAGAGGCUGAUAUCCAGGAUGGGAGGGCAGACGCGCUCCAAGACCCCCAACGCAGACAUGGAGAGGAGUGUGUACGGGGCGGACAGCACCAGCACCCCCACCUACCUCAACAAGCCAGUGAUGUUGCGGGAUUCACAUUUGGGGGCGGAGCCUGACGAUGGGGAGAACCAGAGGCGAAUCGGACGCAGCCUGAGCGGCACGGUACUGACCUCCCGCCGCAGCCGCCUCACUACAACCCGCAGCUUUGUGAAGCAGGCUGAUGUCAGUGCCUCCCCUUGCUUACUUCCUCUCUUCUGAGUCCCUAUUGCUAUUCCACUACCAUCACUUCCUCCAUCCUCAUAACCAACACCUCUUUAUCACCACUUCCCUUCACUGCUUCACAGGAGCUGUCGGGCAGCACUGGGAGUUUCUGGCUGUGUCUGACGGGGGUCAAGCUGUCCUCGGACCAGAGCCCCGCCCUGUUUCACUGAUAUCCGCCCCCGCCUUCCUCUGAAACCUCACCACGGCGCAGCGGUGUCGAGGUCCCAGGUGGCGUCACCUCGACUGACCUAGGAUCGGCUCAAGACCAUCGUCUCAACGGCCGUCCUGCUCCAGCACCUUCUCCUUCGAAACAAACACAUGCACGCACACAUCUGCACUGACGUCGAGCCUCCCUCCGCGCCUGAAGCUCCCCACUUUACUUGCCUUCCCUCCCUACUUACUCUGUCUAUGCAGUCACUCUGACCCCUUAAACUACAACCUCCCUUUCUUUCCCAGGACUAUUUCUCGUCUCCCUGCGGGGUUUUUUAGGAGGAUUCUCGCUGUCCGACUCGGACAAACUCGUCCUCCGCCCCAACAGGACCUUUCAGCUCAAUGGGAGACUCUAACAAAGUAGCCACGCCUCUUCCUCUUUCUUCAUGGGCAUUUUCCCGUCGGACGCACAUGUAGCUGAACUGACAGCCAUAUUUUUGCUCUCGUUUUCUUGCUGGGUUUCCUUGAGGUUUUUGUUUUCCCUCCAGAGACUGAACUCUGAUAACUAAACGUGUACAGAAAAACACAUGUAUGAAACCUGUAUGUUAAUUAAUAAGACCUUAUGGAAUGUUGAUAAUUAACAAAUAUUGAUAAACUAAAAGUGGUACUUCCUCAUGUCUGCAUUUCAAAUAGCAGUGGAGUGCACUUCACAAGUGUCUAGCUGGAGUUUCCGCCCCUAAAAUACUCCCAAAACUCCUCCGUUUCCCUCACCCAAAAAGAAACUGCUUGCUGACUUAAUGACGGCUCUCCCGCUUAUACUGGGAGAUUUAACGAGAAAAGCACUUCCUGUUACUUUGGUCUUUGCUUUCUUUUGCUUUUCUUUGUUCUGAAAGGGAAGCAGUAGCACCACAACCGAGGAGAGUCGAGAAAGGAAGACAAGAGAGAGAAAGAGAGGAAUAUAGGUUAGGAAACCUGCCUCUUACAGGCUUUUUAUCAAUGAACGCGGAUGAUUCAAGUGCACUUUGCAGGGAAGAAGUGCACAUUUAAUCGAAGGCUGAUGGGGAGAGAGAGAGAAGUCCUUUUGGUUUUGUUUUACUUCAAGGCCUCAGGUGAACUUCAGUGGCACUUAUAAAUUCCCACUUUUAUGAUUUCUGACGCUGGUUUCGAGACCCAGAUGGGAGCAAAAACGGCACAUCUUCAGCCUGAUACAGUAAACGUGUCUGAUAGAGUAUGCUUUAUAUGAUAAAUAUGUAUUAGAGGUAUAUUUUCAGCCAGUGAGCUAUCUUCUUCAGAGAUGUCAACCAUUACUCUGUGGUGUGAACAUUGAAAUCCUUUCCCUCACAAAUGAGUAGCAUUCUGACAUGUGUAGUCAGUUUAUUAUAUACUUUAUCAUAUAUAUAUAUAUAUAUAUAUAUAUAUAUAUAUAUAUAUAUAUAUAUAUAUAUAUAUAUAUAUAUAUAUAUAUAUAUAUAUACAUACACACAACUGGCCAAUGUAAAGUUUUGCAAGAAUUUCCUGACAUUGAUUGAUCGUUGUAACAAAAACCAAAGGUUGGCACUUAGCUUGUUGUGUUUCAUUGUUCAUUUAGGUUGUUGUUGAUUGUUAUUUUUAUUUGGGUUGUGAUGUGGGAGAAUGUAGCCAAUUGUAGCGCAUGAGUCCGCUAUGCAAAUCAACCUUCCCUCACAGUCCUGUCAAGAGACAGUCAGGAAGUAGACCCACCCGCCCACAAGGGGGCGCUCACACGGACAAAGACGACGAUUAGGAGAACUCGUGUUUUAAUGCUGCUGGUGAUCUUUGUUGUUCCGCGUCGACAUGCUAACGUGCUAGCUGAUGGGAUGCAACGAGUGGACAGAGGAGAUGAAAGCGAAUGAAUGUAAACUGACAUGUGUGUUUUUGAGUGACGGCUGGAGGCAGAAGAAGAGUGGACAGCCGCUGGAGGUGGGUUUUUACGUGGGUAUAUGUAGACUGAGCGUGUGUCAGUGUUGAUCGGGGAAAGAGGGAUCCUGUAUUUUUGCAAUAAAGUUAUUACCAAUGCCCUCCCGUAGGGGGCGUAACCAC